UCCGCACGAUGCCCCGCUCGCUGGCGACGACGCCUCCCCGUGUCGCACCGGCCGGGGUCCGUACGUGCCUCCAUCGCUGGCCACAAAACGGGGCCGCGAGGGCGAGGCGACGCCCGUGAGUCGACCACGGGCAGGAUUGCAUUAUCCUCUCCCUUGCGCCACGCCCGCCAUUCUUUUCCGCUGCCGCUCUGCUUUCCACUUCCAGGCGCAGCAGCAGCACCUGAUUCCGCACGGGCUAGAUAGGUCCAGCUGCUCUGCUCUGCUCUGCCAUUGGGAGGUGCCGCACCUGACACCUGAUUCCUCAAGCACAGAAAUUCAGCAGAUGGUUGUUCCACCAUAGCUGCACAGUUAAUCAAAUCAGUCUCGUCACCGGCGUCGCCACAGCUAGCACGUGACGUAAUCCAUGGCGGGCGCGGGCAGCUCCAAAGAUGUAGCCGACUCUGUGGAGAAGUGGAUGGCGUUCCCGUCCGGGUCCGGGUCCGGCGACGAGAGCAGCUUCACCCUCCCGACGCCGCCGUCGCUGUCCAGCCGGAAGGAGAUCGUCGAGGAGCCGGGCGGUUCAGGCAGCGGCAGCAAGCAGCAGGGGUGGUGGCCCAAGCCGGAGCAGCGGCGCCGCAGCAGCGGCGGCACCGGCAUGGGCAGCGCCAAGCCGUCCAUGGAGGGGCGCGGGUCGUCCGACGCGCUGCCGCGGGUGUCGCAGGAGCUCAAGGACGCGCUGUCCAACCUGCAGCAGACGUUCGUCGUCUCCGACGCCACCCGCCCCGACAUCCCCAUCAUCUACGCCAGCGCCGGCUUCUACACCAUGACCGGGUACUCCGCCAAGGAGAUCAUCGGACGCAACUGCCGGUUUCUUCAGGGUCCGGAGACGGACCAGAACGAGGUGUCCAAGAUCAGGGACGCCGUGAAGGCCGGCAAGAGCUUCUGCGGCCGGCUGCUGAACUACCGCAAGGACGGCACGCCGUUCUGGAAUCUCCUCACCGUCACCCCCAUCCGCGACGACAACGGCAAGGUCAUCAAGUUCAUCGGGAUGCAGGUGGAGGUGAGCAAGUACACGGAAGGGCUGAGCGACAAGCGCAUGCGGCCGAACGAGCUGCCGGUGUCGCUCAUCCGCUACGACGACCGGCAGAAGGAGAAGGCCAUGUCGUCGAUGACGGAGGUCGUGCAGACAGUGAAGCACCGGCGCGCGGACUCGCCGGAGCGGGAGCCUCCCAAGGCCAGCGACGCGGACAAGAUCAGCUCGCCGCUCGUGGCUCCUGCCACCCCGACCGGCGGCGGCUACAAGUCGCCCUACUGGGACCUGAAGAAGGAGGAGUCGCGGAUGAGCAAGAUGAUGAGCGGGCGCAAGUCCGGCCGCUCCUCCCUCAUGGGGUUCAAGGUGGGGAAGAGGAGCUCCGUGGGGAGCAGGGAGCCGGCGGUGGUGGAGGCGCCGGAGUUGAAGAUGACGGUGGAGCGCACCAACAGCUGGGAGCGCGCGGAGAGGGAGAAGGACAUCAGGCAGGGGCUGGACCUCGCCACCACGCUCGAGCGUAUCGAGAAGAACUUCGUCAUCACGGACCCCAGGCUCCCAGACAACCCAAUUAUUUUCGCGUCUGAUAGCUUCCUGGAGCUGACGGAGUACACGCGCGAAGAGAUCCUGGGGAGGAACUGUAGGUUUCUUCAAGGGUCGGAGACCGACCAGACCACCGUUGACAAGAUCAGGGAGGCCAUCAGGGAGCAGAAGGAGGUCACCGUCCAGCUAAUUAACUACACCAAAAGCGGGAAGAAGUUCUGGAACUUGUUUCACCUGCAGCCUAUGUGGGAUCAGAAGGGGGAGCUUCAGUACUUUAUCGGCGUGCAACUUGAUGGAAGCGAUCAUGUUGAACCCCUCAGGAACCGACUCUCGGAGAACACUGAGAUACAAAGUGCCAAACUGGUCAAAGCUACAGCAGGGAAUGUGGAUGAAGCGGUCAGGGAGCUUCCUGAUGCCAACUUGAGACCAGAGGACCUGUGGGCAAUGCACUCACUAUCUGUUUCUCCAAAACCUCACAAACGGAAUAACUCUUCUUGGAAAGCGAUAGAAAAGAUUAUAGAAACCGGGGAGAAGAUUGGCUUGAAACACUUCAAGCCAGUAAAACCUCUGGGGUGUGGGGACACUGGCAGUGUACACUUGGUUGAGUUGCAAGGUAGUGGUGAAUUAUUUGCGAUGAAGGCAAUGGACAAAUCAGUGAUGUUGAACCGCAACAAGGUGCACCGAGCUAUUAUUGAAAGAGAAAUAUACUCUCUAUUGGAUCAUCCUUUUCUUCCAACAUUGUAUACUUCAUUUCAGACGCCAACACAUGUUUGUCUUAUAACAGACUUUUGUCCCGGAGGAGAAUUGUUUGCGGCGCUUGAUAAGCAACCCUUGAAAAUUUUCAGAGAAGAUUCUGCAAGGUUUUAUGCUGCGGAGGUUGUAAUUGGUCUCGAGUAUCUUCAUUGUCUUGGUAUUAUAUACCGCGAUUUGAAACCAGAAAACAUUUUGCUCCAAGCCGAUGGGCACAUUGUGCUGACUGAUUUUGACCUCUCAUUUUUGACUUCGUCGAAACCCCAUGUUAUAAAGCAUUCGACAUCGCUAAAACGAAGGAGAUCUAAAGAAUUUAUGCCACCUUCAUUUGUCUCGGAUCCUUCUACUCCAUCAAAUUCGUUUGUUGGAACUGAAGAAUACAUUGCACCAGAGGUCAUCACAGGUGCAGGACAUACAAGUGCCAUUGAUUGGUGGGCUCUUGGAAUUCUAUUGUAUGAGAUGCUGUAUGGGCGUACACCUUUUCGAGGAAAGAACAGGAAGAAGACAUUUUAUAACAUCCUGCACAAAGAUCUUACGUUUCCUAGUAGCAUCCCGGUUAGCCUGGAGGCGAAGCAACUAAUCCACGGACUGCUUCAGAGAGAUCCCUCUUCUCGCAUAGGUUCAAAUACUGGUGCAAAUGAUAUCAAGGAACAUCCAUUUUUUGAAGACAUCUAUUGGCCACUUAUACGUUGCAUGAGUCCCCCGGAGCUUGAUGUUCCGUUGAAGCUGAUUGGCGAGGAAUCUCAACCAAAAGUGAAGCCCGAGGAAGGUGUUAUUGAUACAUUUUAAGGUGGAAAUGACGCAAGUCAAACUCUAAUUAGAUAAUGAGAAAACGGGGGCGAAUAUGAACAAGUGGAUGAGUAUGGGUGGACAUAUCAUACGCGAAGGCUUGGUCUGUGCCUAGUAAAAGCAGGUCUUGUGUAAUCAAAGCAGGCCGUCGUACUGAAAUAAGUACUCUCCUUCCGUCCCAUAAUGACUGUUUGCACGACGUCCAUGUGGUAGGAAUGGUUGUUCUUAACCAAAUAAGAGGCUUGCAAGUCCUGUGAAGUGAUAGAAGGAAGUGUGGCCUUCAGUGUUUUCACUUUGAGAUGCCUCGAGAUCCUGUACAUGAGCUAUUCUUUUGGUUAGAUUAGGAGCUUACUGUAUCCAGUAAAUAGGAUAUUAUUCCUGUAAAGUUUCACUCUUCCUGGAGAUGGUAUGGUAAGAUGUACGCGGCACGGAUAAUGUACUCUGAAAAGAUCUGAAAUUUGCUUCUUUACAAUAAAGCUUGUAUUUACAAACCAUUCA